rnacentral:SRP_RNA from 1 species
GCCGGGCGCGGUGGCGCGUGCCUGUAGUCCCAGCUACUCGGGAGGCUGAGGCUGGAGGAUCGCUUGAGUCCAGGAGUUCUGGGCUGUAGUGCGCUAUGCCGAUCGGGUGUCCGCACUAAGUUCGGCAUCAAUAUGGUGACCUCCCGGGAGCGGGGGACCACCAGGUUGCCUAAGGAGGGGUGAACCGGCCCAGGUCGGAAACGGAGCAGGUCAAAACUCCCGUGCUGAUCAGUAGUGGGAUCGCGCCUGUGAAUAGCCACUGCACUCCAGCCUGGGCAACAUAGCGAGACCCCGUCUCUUU